rnacentral:rRNA from 1 species
CCUUAGAGUUUGAUCCUGGCUCAGGAUGAACGCUAGCUACAGGCUUAACACAUGCAAGUCGAGGGGCAGCAUCAUCAAAGCUUGCUUUGAUGGAUGGCGACCGGCGCACGGGUGAGUAACACGUAUCCAACCUGCCGACAACACUGGGAUAGCCUUUCGAAAGAAAGAUUAAUACCGGAUGGCAUAGUUUUCCCGCAUGGGAUAAUUAUUAAAGAAUUUCGGUUGUCGAUGGGGAUGCGUUCCAUUAGGCAGUUGGCGGGGUAACGGCCCACCAAACCAACGAUGGAUAGGGGUUCUGAGAGGAAGGUCCCGCACAUUGGAACUGAGACACGGUCCAAACUCCUACGGGAGGCAGCAGUGAGGAAUAUUGGUCAAUGGACGAGAGUCUGAACCAGCCAAGUAGCGUGAAGGAUGACUGCCCUAUGGGUUGUAAACUUCUUUUAUACGGGAAUAAAGUUAGCCACGUGUGGCUUUUUGUAUGUACCGUAUGAAUAAGGAUCGGCUAACUCCGUGCCAGCAGCCGCGGUAAUACGGAGGAUCCGAGCGUUAUCCGGAUUUAUUGGGUUUAAAGGGAGCGUAGGCGGGUUGUUAAGUCAGUUGUGAAAGUUUGCGGCUCAACCGUAAAAUUGCAGUUGAUACUGGCGACCUUGAGUGCAACAGAGGUAGGCGGAAUUCGUGGUGUAGCGGUGAAAUGCUUAGAUAUCACGAAGAACUCCGAUUGCGAAGGCAGCUUACUGGAUUGUAACUGACGCUGAUGCUCGAAAGUGUGGGUAUCAAACAGGAUUAGAUACCCUGGUAGUCCACACAGUAAACGAUGAAUACUCGCUGUUGGCGAUAUACAGUCAGCGGCCAAGCGAAAGCAUUAAGUAUUCCACCUGGGGAGUACGCCGGCAACGGUGAAACUCAAAGGAAUUGACGGGGGCCCGCACAAGCGGAGGAACAUGUGGUUUAAUUCGAUGAUACGCGAGGAACCUUACCCGGGCUUAAAUUGCAACUGACUGAACCGGAAACGGUUCUUUCUUCGGACAGUUGUGAAGGUGCUGCAUGGUUGUCGUCAGCUCGUGCCGUGAGGUGUCGGCUUAAGUGCCAUAACGAGCGCAACCCUUAUCGAUAGUUACUAGCAGGUCAUGCUGAGGACUCUAUUGAGACUGCCGUCGUAAGAUGUGAGGAAGGUGGGGAUGACGUCAAAUCAGCACGGCCCUUACGUCCGGGGCUACACACGUGUUACAAUGGGGGGUACAGAAGGCAGCUACACGGCGACGUGGUGCUAAUCCCGAAAGCCUCUCUCAGUUCGGAUUGGAGUCUGCAACCCGACUCCAUGAAGCUGGAUUCGCUAGUAAUCGCGCAUCAGCCACGGCGCGGUGAAUACGUUCCCGGGCCUUGCACACACCGCCCGUCAAG